CACCUCUGACAAAUGCAGAGGAGAUGGCCCUGAGCCUGAAUGCUGGAAGGCCAAUGGCUGAGGGAAUUCCUGGAGGGACUUCAUCAGAGCCAGUCACUCCAGAAGAUUUAAGUGCCUUCAUAAAAUAUUCUGAUGGUAAAAUUAGUCUUUUGGAGCCUCCUGUCCCAACAGAACCACAGGCAGUUGAUGAUGGGGAUGAAGAAACAGUUUCUGCUGCCACAGAGAUGCCUACAGAGAGUGUGGAAGAACAGCAAGAGGAUGGUCCAUCAACUUCUGGUGCACAGAUGAACACAGUUCAGUGAUUUUUUUUUUUCAGUAAAUGCCACAGUUUAAUAUUGUAGAAUUUUAGAACUACAUGAUGUAACUGUAAUCUACUGUAUUUUCAGUUGCCAGUUAAGGAGUUAUAUAGACUUCUUCUUAUUAAAAAGAUAGAAAAAAACAGCAAAGAACUUGUAUACUUGGACCGCCAGAUCCAAAAGGCAGAUCUGGAAAUUGAGAUUCUGAAACUAAAGCUAGAGGUGAGUGCAUGGUCACAGGUGAAUUCUAAGUAUUGAAAAUAUAUUAAAUUCUAUUUUUUUUUUUAUGUUUAGGAAAUAAAGAACACCAUAUAAAUUGCUGUGAUUUUGUGUUUAUUCAUUUUUAUUUUAUUUUGUGGUUGGUUGGUUGUGGUGGUGGAUAUAAUGUGUAUUAAUCUGUGAAGACAUUUCGGCAUAUCAUAUCCCGGACUACCCUUCCCUCCUGGAAAUCUGCCGGGUUGAUGGGGUCUUCCUCUGGGUCUUGUAUUUGUAGGGCAG
ensembl:lncRNA